rnacentral:lncRNA from 1 species
CGUCUACAAGCUAGCGCUCCCGGGGCUCUCCCUCGGCGGCACCAUCCCGCCGGAGCUCUCCAACUGCACCAACCUCCAGUCGCUGGACCUCUCCGCCAACGCGCUGUCCGGAGCCAUCCCGCCGGAGCUCUCGGCGCUGCUGAACCUCGCCGUGCUCAACCUCUCCGCCAACGCGCUCUCCGGCGCCAUCCCGCGGGAGCUCGCCAGCUGCGCCUACCUCAACAUCAUAGAUCUCCACGGCAACCAGCUGUCCGGGCCCAUCCCCGACGAGCUCGGCCUCCUCGUCCGCCUCUCCACCUUGGAUGUCUC